GGAUAACCUACCCUUUAGGACUGGGAUAACCCUGGGAAACUGGGGAUAAUACCGGAUAGGCAAUUUUUCCUGUAAUGGUUUUUUGUUUAAAUGUUUUUUCGCCUAAGGAUGGGUCUGCGGCCGAUUAGGUAGUUGGUUAGGUAAUGGUUUACCAAGCCGUUGAUCGGUACGGGUUGUGAGAGCAAGAGCCCGGAGAUGGAACCUGAGACAAGGUUCCAGGCCCUACGGGGUGCAGCAGGCGCGAAACCUCCGCAAUGUGAGAAAUCGCGACGGGGGGAUCCCAAGUGCCAUUCUUAACGGGAUGGCUUUUCAUUAGUGUAAAGAGCUUUUGGAAUAAGGGCUGGGCAGGACCGGUGCCAGCCGCCGCGGUAACACCGGCAGCUCUAGUGGUAGCAGUUUUUAUUGGGCCUAAAGCGUCCGUAGCCGGUUUAAUAAGUCUCUGGUGAAAUCCUGUAGCUUAACUGUGGGAAUUGCUGGAGAUACUAUUAGACUUGAGACCGGGAGAGGUUAGAGGUACUCCCAGGGUAGAGGUGAAAUUCUGUAAUCCUGGGAGGACCGCCUGUUGCGAAGGCGUCUAACUGGAACGGUUCUGACGGUGAGGGACGAAAGUUAGGGGCGCGAACCGGAUUAGAUACCCGGGUAGUCCUAACUGUAAACGAUGCGGACUUGGUGUUGGGGUGGCUUUGAGCUGCUUCAGUGCCGAAGGGAAGCUGUUAAGUCCGCCGCCUGGGAAGUACGGUCGCAAGACUGAAACUUAA
rnacentral:rRNA from 1 species